GAUGAACGCUGGCAGUGUGCCUAAAAACAUGCAAGUCGGACGGUUCUGAGGUUAGAGGCUGGAGGCUAAGGGAUUAGCUUGCAGUCUCUAAUUUCAGGACAGUGGCGAACGGGUGAGUAACGCGUAAGUAACCUACCCCCAGGACGGGGAUAACAUUCCGAAAGGGAUGCUAAUACCCGAUGAGGUUAAGUGACUGAGAUGUCAGAUAACCAAAGGGAAGCGAAAGUGACCGCCUGGGGAUGGGCUUGCGUCCCAUCAGCUAGUUGGUAGGGUAAGAGCCUACCAAGGCAAAGACGGGUAGCUGGCUUGAGAGGGUGGUCAGCCACACUGGGACUGAGACACGGCCCAGACUCCUACGGGAGGCAGCAGUGGGGAAUAUUGCACAAUGGGCGAAAGCCUGAUGCAGCAACGCCGCGUGAGCGAAGAAGGCCUUUGGGUCGUAAAGCUCUGUCGGGUAGGAAGAUAAUGACGGUACUACCCGAGGAAGCCCCGGCUAACUACGUGCCAGCACG
rnacentral:rRNA from 1 species